rnacentral:ncRNA from 1 species
CGGCCGGGACGACCCGGUCGACGCGCUCGCAGGAGGACGGCCUCG